UACAGAGGUCUCAAGCGUUGUUCGGAUUCAUUGGGCGUAAAGGGUGCGUAGGCGGCGCGGUAAGUCGGGUGUGAAAUCUCGGAGCUUAACUCCGAAACUGCAUUCGAUACUGCCGUGCUUGAGGACUGGAGAGGAGACUGGAAUUUACGGUGUAGCGGUGAAAUGCGCAGAUAUCAGGAAGAACACCAAUGGCGAAAGCAGCUCUCUGGGGACGGUACUGACGCUGAGACGCGAAAGCGUGGGGAGCGAACAGG
rnacentral:rRNA from 1 species